rnacentral:rRNA from 1 species
AACGAACGCUGGUGGCACGCUUAAUACAUGCAAGUCGUACGAGAAAGUUCCUUCGGGGAUGAGUACAGUGGCGCACGGGUGAGUAACACGUAGGUGACCUACCUUUUGGUUGGGGAUAACAAGAAGAAGUUCUUGCUAAUACCGGAUAAGUAGAUCGAUUUUGGAAAUAGAUCUAGAAAGAUGGCCUCUUUACAAUGCCAUUGCCGAAAGAAGGGCCUGCGGAACAUUAGCUAGUUGGUGGGGUAAUGGCCUACCAAGGCUUCGAUGUUUAGCCGGUCUGAGAGGAUGGUCGGCCACACUGGAACUGAGACACGGUCCAGACUCCUACGGGAGGCAGCAGUAGGGAAUCUUGCGCAAUGGGGGCAACCCUGACGCAGCGAUGCCACGUGAGUGAGGAAGGCCUUCUGGUUGUAAAGCUCUGUCCUAGGGGAAAAAGGCGUUAAUAUUAAUAGUAUUAAUGAUUGAUGGUACCCUGGAAGAAAGCACCGGCUAACUUCGUGCCAGCCGCCGCGGUAA